rnacentral:rRNA from 1 species
GGGGCAACCUGGCGGCGWAGUGGCGAACGGGUGAGUAAUAUAUCGGAACGUACCCUGGAGUGGGGGAUAACGUAGCGAAAGUUACGCUAAUACCGCAUACGAUCUAAGGAUGAAAGUGGGGGAUUCGCAAGAACCUCAUGCUCCUGGAGCGGCCGAUAUCUGAUUAGCUAGUUGGUAGGGUAAGAGCCUACCGAGGCAUCGAUCAGUCGCUGCUCUGAGAGGACGACCAGCCACACUGGAACUGAGACACGCUCCACACUCCUACGGGAGGCAGCAGUGGGGAAUUUUGGACUGUGCGCGCGAGCCUGAUCCAGCUAUGCCGCGUGAGUGAAGAAGGCCUUCGGGUUGUAGAGCUCUUUUGUCAGGGAAGAAACGGUUUUUUCUAAUACAGAGAUCUUAUGACGGUACCUGAAGAAUAAGC